CCUACGUGAGGCAGCAGUGAGGAAUAUUGGUCAAUGGACGAGAGUCUGAACCAGCCAAGUAGCGUGAAGGAUGACUGCCCUAUGGGUUGUAAACUUCUUUUAUAUGGGAAUAAAAUGUUCGACGUGAGGGAUUUUGUAUGUACCAUAUGAAUAAAGAUCGGCUAACUCCGUGCCAGCAGACGCGGUAAUACGGAGGAUACGAGGGUUGUCCGGAUUUAUUGGGUUUAAAGGGAGUAUAGUUGGAUUGUUAAGUCAGUUGUGAAAGUGUGCGGCUCAACCGUAAAAUUGCAUUUGAAACUGGCAGUCUUGAGUACAGUAGAGGUGGGCGGAACUCGUGGUGUAGCGGUGAAAUGCUUAGAUAUCACGAAGAACUCCGAUUGCGAAGGCAGCUCACUGGACUGCAACUGACACUGAGGCUCGAAAGUGUGGGUAUCAAACAGGAUUAGAUACCCUGGUAGUC
rnacentral:rRNA from 1 species